UGCAGGACCUCCAAUGUUGCAGGACAUGU
rnacentral:piRNA from 1 species